UACGUAGGGAGCAAGCGUUGUCCGGAAUCAUUGGGCGUAAAGCGCGCGUAGGCGGCCCCGUAAGUCCGCUGUGAAAGUCAAAGGCUCAACCUUUGAAAGCCGGUGGAUACUGUGGGGCUAGAGGAUGGAAGAGGCUCGCGGAAUUCCCAGUGUAGAGGUGAAAUUCGUAGAUAUUGGGAAGAACACCGGUGGCGAAGGCGGCGAGCUGGUCCAUUACUGACGCUGAGGCGCGACAGCGUGGGGAGCAAACAGG
rnacentral:rRNA from 1 species